CGCUCCGACCUCCUUCACGUGACACCUCUCUCCUUCCCGCCCCCUUGUUCUGUACAACCACCCUUCACAUGUGACCCGGGGCUUCGGGCUCGCAGCUUUCAGCUCCUCAGUGCGUGUUUACGUACGGCGUGCGUGCGUGCUAGAACCCUCGCCGCCGAGCCCCCCUCACGUGACCCGGCGCCGCGUGCUCCCAGGGGCUACCUGCGCGGGACCGUGUUUCCUGCUCUGGGCCCUUCUUCCUCCGCCCGGAGCCGUGGUGAACAUGCAGGGCUUUCUGUGAGCAGAGAAGAAAGAGGGAGAGCUGCGGUCGCCGCUGUUUCAUUUUAUGACACUCUGUCUUGCAGUGUGGAUCACUGUGUCAGUGUAGAUGAAAUGGGCUAUGGAAGAUGAUGAACACAUCUUACAGAGCUGGGCACAGAGUACAUUUCUCGCUCGCUCACUUCAGUCAUGUCUGACUCUGUGCAACCCUAUGGACUGUAUUCUGCCAGGCUCCUCUGUCCAUGGGGAUUCUCCAGGCAAGAAUACUGGGGUGGGUUGCCAUGCCCUUCUCCAGGGGAUCUUCCUGACCAGGGAUCGGGGAUCGCACCCUUGUUCGAUUUAUUUCUUGCAUAAUAAAUCUCUCUUUAUUUAUUUCUCUUGCA